rnacentral:rRNA from 1 species
UACGUAGGGUGCAAGCGUUAAUCGGAAUUACUGGGCGUAAAGCGUGCGCAGGCGGUUCGCUAAGACAGAUGUGAAAUCCCCGGGCUUAACCUGGGAACUGCAUUUGUGACUGGCGGGCUAGAGUAUGGCAGAGGGGGGUAGAAUUCCACGUGUAGCAGUGAAAUGCGUAGAGAUGUGGAGGAAUACCGAUGGCGAAGGCAGCCCCCUGGGCCAAUACUGACGCUCAUGCACGAAAGCGUGGGGAGCAAAAGGG